ensembl:snRNA
AAAGUCAACUUAAAGUUUAUUACUGUCCAAUGAGUGCACAGUGAGGGCACUACUGCUAACGCCUACACAAGACACCCACAUCAACUAGAGCUUUGCUUUACUUUGGUGCAAUUUUUGGAAAA